UGAGGCUGGUUUCAUUGGAGGCCAACAGUUUCCAUGCGCUCCUGGUCACACAAGUGAGUCACCAUGACAAACAGUGAAGAGCAGGACAAGAAUUCACAGCAGUAUGCAGUUGCUCAAUUUAGGUGCAGAGGCCCUUUACAGCAGCAGAACACACAACUGCAUAUCCCAUUUUUACAAGAAUUAUUUCCAUUCUGGUUUAGGAGGUUGUCUCCUAUGGAUCUCAGCCAUUCAGUUUCCCAAGGAGAAGGAAGUUUACAAAGAAGAGGCUUCUGACUCUACAUAAGAGGUCAAACAGACUCUUAACAGUGUGACUUAAGGACAGGAGGAUUCUUUCUUUAUGUGGUUCCUGUACUGAAUUUAACUCUUAAGCUUGUAAAGCAGAAUGUUAUAUCUGGAGACAAUUCCAGACACUGCUUAGAAAAAUGGAGCAGGCCAAAAAAAGUUCUCUCUCUUACUGACACUGUUCUUUUUCAUUAAUCUUUGAGUGAUAACUGGUAAUAAACUGUAUAUCUCUAUCUCUGCUAACUAAAUAAACUAACUUUCACAGAUGAUUCA